rnacentral:tRNA from 1 species
UGUGGUGUAGCUCAACAGGUAGAGCAAGCAAUCGCGAAUAGUGAAGCGGGUAUGCCGGUUCGAUUCCGGCCACCACAU